rnacentral:rRNA from 1 species
AUUGAACGCUGGCGGCAGGCCUAACACAUGCAAGUCGAGCGAGUGGCGGACGGGUGAGUAAUGCAUGGGGAACUGCCCGAUGGAGGGGGAUAACUACUGGAAACGGUAGCUAAUACCGCAUACCAUCGGAUGUGCCCAGAUGGGAUUAGCUAGUAGGUGGGGUAAAGGCUCACCUAGGCGACGAUCGCUAGCUGGUCUGAGAGGAUGACCAGCCACACUGGAACUGAGACACGGCCCAGAGUCCUACGGGAGGCAGCAGUGGGGAAUAUUGCACAAUGGGCGCAAGCCUGAUGCAGCCAUGCCGCGUGAAUGAAGAAGGCCUUCGGGUUGUAAAGUUCUUUCGGUAGGGAGGCGUUAACUACAGAAGAAGCACCGGCUAACUCCGUGCCAGCAGCCGCGGUAAUAC